rnacentral:rRNA from 1 species
AGAGUUUGAUCAUGGCUCAGAAUGAACGCUGGCGGCGUGCUUAACACAUGCAAGUCGUACGAGAACUCUUCUGCUUGCAGAAGAUAGUAAAGUGGCGCACGGGUGAGUAACGCGUGGGUAAUCUACCUCUGAAUCGGGGAUAACCCGCCGAAAGGCGAGCUAAUACCGGAUGAUAUCUUUUAAACCUAGGUUUUUAAGAUCAAAAGGUGGUCUCUACAUGUAAGCUACUGUUUGGAGAUGAGCCCGCGUACCAUUAGCUUGUUGGUAGGGUAAUGGCCUACCAAGGCCGCGAUGGUUAGCUGGUCUGAGAGGAUGAUCAGCCACACUGGAACUGACACACGGUCCAGACUCCUACGGGAGGCAGCAGUGAGGAAUUUUGCGCAAUGGGGGAAACCCUGACGCAGCAACGCCGCGUGAGUGAUGAAGGCUUUCGGGUCGUAAAGCUCUGUCAAGUGGGAAGAACCUGCUCGAUGCUAAUAACAUUUAGCACUGACGGUACCACUAAAGGAAGCACCGGCUAACUCCGUGCCAGCAGCCGCGGUAAUACGGGGGGGUGCAAGCGUUAUUCGGAAUUAUUGGGCGUAAAGGGCGCGUAGGCGGUCUCUAAAGUCAGAUGUGAAAGCCCGGGGCUUAACCCCGGAAGUGCAUUUGAAACUCAGGGACUUGAGUAUGGGAGAGGGAAGUGGAAUUCCUGGUGUAGCGGUGAAAUGCGUAGAUAUCAGGAGGAACACCAGUGGCGAAGGCGACUUCCUGGACCAAUACUGACGCUGAGGCGCGAAGGCGUGGGGAGCAAACAGGAUUAGAUACCCUAGUAGUCC